rnacentral:rRNA from 1 species
AGACCCGAAACCCGGUGAUCUAGCCAUGGGCAGGUUGAAGGUUGGGUAACACUAACUGGAGGACCGAACCGACUAAUGUUGAAAAAUUAGCGGAUGACCUGUGGCUGGGGGUGAAAGGCCAAUCAAACCGGGAGAUAGCUGGUUCUCCCCGAAAGCUAUUUAGGUAGCGCCUCGUGAAUUCAUCUCCGGGGGUAGAGCACUGUUUCGGCUAGGGGGCCAUCCCGGCUUACCAACCCGAUGCAAACUGCGAAUACCGGAGAAUGUUAUCACGGGAGACACACGGCGGGUGCUAACGUCCGUCGUGAAGAGGGAAACAACCCAGACCGCCAGCUAAGGUCCCAAAGUCAUGGUUAAGUGGGAAACGAUGUGGGAAGGCCCAGACAGCCAGGAUGUUGGCUUAGAAGCAGCCAUCAUUUAAAGAAAGCGUAAUAGCUCACUGGUCGAGUCGGCCUGCGCGGAAGAUGUAACGGGGCUAAACCAUGCACCGAAGCUGCGGCAGCGAACGUAUCACUUAAAGCGAUUCAGCGGGUUACGAUUGACGGAGCGAAGCGACGUCAAAGCGUAUACAAAGUCGAGUCGGUUUAAGGAUACGUUCGUUGGGUAGGGGAGCGUUCUGUAAGCCUGUGAAGGUGUGUCGUGAGGCAUGCUGGAGGUAUCAGAAGUGCGAAUGCUGACAUAAGUAACGAUAAAGCGGGUGAAAAGCCCGCUCGCCGGAAGACCAAGGGUUCCUGUCCAACGUUAAUCGGGGCAGGGUGAGUCGACCCCUAAGGCGAGGCCGAAAGGCGUAGUCGAUGGGAAACGGGUUAAUAUUCCCGUACUUGGUGUUACUGCGAAGGGGGGACGGAGAAGGCUAUGUUGGCCGGGCGACGGUUGUCCCGGUUUAAGCGUGUAGGUGUGUGUUCCAGGUAAAUCCGGUUCACUUUAACACUGAGGCGUGAUGACGAGGCACUACGGUGCUGAAGCAACAAAUGCCCUGCUUCCAGGAAAAGCCUCUAAGCAUCAGGUAACAUCAAAUCGUACCCCAAACCGACACAGGUGGUCAGGUAGAGAAUACCAAGGCGCUUGAGAGAACUCGGGUGAAGGAACUAGGCAAAAUGGUGCCGUAACUUCGGGAGAAGGCACGCUGACAUGUAGGUGAAGUGAUUUACUCAUGGAGCUGAAGUCAGUCGAAGAUACCAGCUGGCU